AACUAGAAUGAAUGAAUUGAUAAAAUAAAAACUUUAUUAAUUUAAUUAAAUUGAAUUUAUUUUUUUAAUUAAAAAAUUAAAAUUUUAUAAUGGGACGAGAAGACCCUAUAGAAUUUAAUAAUUUUAAUUAAUUUUUUAUAAAGAUUUUUAAUUAAAAUUAUUUGAUUGGGAGGAUAAUUAAAUUUAAUAAACUUUAAUAAAAUUUUUCAAUGAUUAUUGAAUUAAAAGAAUUUUUAUUAAAAUUUUAAAGAAAAAUUACCUUAGGGAUAACAGUGUACUAUUUUUGGAUAGAUCAAAUUGAUAAAAAUGUUUACCACCUCGAUGUUGAAUUAAGAUAAAAUUUAUUAGAAGAAAAAUAAAAUUUUAGUCUGUUCGACUAUUAAAAUCUUACAUGAUUUGAGUUCAAAUC
rnacentral:rRNA from 1 species